rnacentral:rRNA from 1 species
GACGAACGCUGGCGGCGUGCUUAACACAUGCAAGUCGAACGGGUCUGCCUUGUUUUUUGCGGGGUGGGUCAGUGGCGAACGGGUGAGUAACACGUGAGUAACCUGCCCCUCACUUCUGGAUAACCGCUUGAAAGGGUGGCUAAUACGGGGUGUUCUGGCUGUGCCGCAUGGUGUGGCUGGGAAAGAUUCACUUUUGUGGUGUUUUGGUGGGGGAUGGGCUCGCGGCCUAUCAGCUUGUUGGUGGGGUGAUGGCCUGCCAAGGCUUUGACGGGUAGCCGGCCUGAGAGGGUGGGCGGUCACACUGGGACUGAGAUACGGCCCAGACUCCUGCGGGAGGCAGCAGUGGGGGGUAUUGCACAAUGGGCGGAAGCCUGAUGCAGCGACGUCGCGUGAGGGAUGGAUGCCUUCGGGUUGUGAACCUCUUUCGCCGGUGAAGAAGGUCCUGUUCUUUGUGGUGGGGCUGAACGGAAGCCCGGGUAAAA